rnacentral:lncRNA from 1 species
UAAAAUACAAAAUAAUAAUUAUGACAAUAGUUCAUCGAAUACAUUUUAGCAAUUUGUUACAAUCUAAAUUAUUCUGAGUCUAAUUUCAAGACAAAGUAAACACAAUGGUCAUCCAGCUCAUUCCAAUUCCAAUUCUGAUUUCCAUUCCUUCAGUUCAAGUAAACAACUUAUUCAGAUUCUCAUUCCAUUCUAGCUUAUUUCUAUUUCUGCCCAUUUCAAUUACAAUCCAUUCUAAUUCCACUUUAGUAAACGCACUAUUAUGGCCUCUUUACUAAACCGUAAUGGGAAUCAAAAUGGAGGAAAGGAAAUGAAUAAAUACUUAUUAAAACUGAAAUUGGGAAUGAGAAUGAAGUGUUCCGAUCAACACAAAAUCAGGUUUGAUUGCUGGAGUUUUGAUUCCAGUAGGGGCUUGGGAAUCAAAACUUCAUUCCCCCAAAUGACAAAAUUAUCCCCAUUAUAUUUUCAAUUUUCCCGAAAAUACCCUCUUUACAAUUAAAAUAAAAAAGGAAAAACCCAUGAAAUCCUUAACAUAGCUAACUAACCCAUCUUGUCUCUAUUGCUUGGAACCAAAGAAACGAUCAGAGGUAGUCAGGUAGCACCUUCACCAGUUGCAGCCCAUCUCCAUCGCUUGUCACUGGUCGGAUUUGUCGCCGCCAUCAUAGUUAGCCUCUCUAUCGUUGUUGAAGAACCAAUUGAUGAUGAUGAUCUCUGAUGACAAUAAUGAUGACGAUGAUUAUAAUGAUGAUUAUUGAUGAUGUAAUUGUGAUGAUGAUGAUGAAGGCAAUGAAGAUGAUGAUUUGUGAUGACGAUGAUGAAGAUGAAAUUGAGUUUUGAUGUUGACAAAAUUGACAGGAGGAAAAAGAAGAAAUUCUCGUGAUUGAUGAUGUUGAUAAAGAAGAUGAAAUUGACGUUGAUUAAUGAUGAAGUAAUGAAGAAAUUGCAGAAAAGAGAAAGAAGAAAGAGGAGAAGAAGAAAAAGAAAAAGAAAAAAGAACAGAAGAGAGAUGAAAAAUAUUAAAAAAUAAAAGAGGAAAAAAUUAUAACUAUUAUUAUUAUUAUUUUGUUAAUAUUAUUAACAAUGAUUUUCUUAAUUAUAAUCAUAAUCAUAUAAAAUAAAUAAUAAAAAUAAUGGUACUAAUAAAGUUAAGGGUAUUUUUGUAAUUUGUCGCAAUUUAUUUUGAUUCUAAG